rnacentral:rRNA from 2 species
ACGGGGUGCAGCAGGCGCGAAAACUUUGCAAUGUGCGAAAGCACGACAAGGUUAAUCCGAGUGGUUUCUGCUAAAGAAACCUUUUGUCAGUCCUAGAAACACUGAUGAAUAAGGGGUGGGCAAGUUCUGGUGUCAGCCGCCGCGGUAAAACCAGCACCUCAAGUGGUCAGGAUGAUUAUUGGGCCUAAAGCAUCCGUAGCUCGUUUUGUAAGUUUUCGGUUAAAUCCAUGCGCUUAACGUAUGGGCUGCCGGGAAUACUGCAUAACUAGGAAGUGGGAGAGGUAGACGGUACUCGGUAGGAAGGGGUAAAAUCCUUUGAUCUAUUGAUGACCACCUGUGGCGAAGGCGGUCUACCAGAACACGUUCGACGGUGAGGGAUGAAAGCUGGGGGAGCAAACCGGAUUAGAUACCCGGGUAGUCCCAGCUGUAAACUAUGCAAACUCAGUGAUGCAUUGGCUUGUGGCCAAUGCAGUGCUGCAGGGAAGCCGUUAAGUUUGCCGCCUGGGAAGUACGUACGCAAGUAUGAAACUUAAAGGAAUUGGCGGGGGAGCAC